rnacentral:rRNA from 1 species
UACGGAGGAUCCAAGCGGUUAUCCGGAAUCAUUGGGUUUAAAGGGUACCGUAGGCGGUUUUGGAUAAGUCAGUGGUGAAAGCCCAUCGCUCAACGAUGGAACGGCCAUUGAUACGUGUCAGACUUGAAUUAUUAGGAAGUAACUGAGAAUAUGUAGUGUAGCGGUGAAAUGCUUAGAUAGUUACAUGGAAAUACCAAUUGCGAAGGCAGGUUACUACUAAGUGGGAUUGACCGCUGAUGGACGAAAGCGUGGGGAGCGAACAGGA